rnacentral:misc_RNA from 1 species
AGGGAAUGUAUCAGUAUCCACGUCGGCCAGGCCGGAGUCCAGAUGGGCAAUGCCUGCUGGGAGUUGUACUGUCUGGAACAUGGAAUCCAGCCGGACGGUCAGAUGCCCAGUGACAAGACCAUUGGAGGAGGGGACGACUCUUUCAACACCUUCUUCAGUGAGACUGGGGCAGGCAAACACGUCCCCAGGGCUGUAUUUGUUGACCUAGAGCCAACAGUUGUAGAUGAAGUACGUACCGGCACCUACCGCCAACUCUUCCAUCCAGAACAACUUGUGACAGGCAAGGAAGAUGCAGCUAACAACUAUGCCCGUGGACACUACACCAUUGGGAAGGAGAUCGUGGACUUGGUCCUGGACAGAAUCCGUAAGCUGGCUGACCAGUGCACAGGACUUCAGGGAUUCCUUAUCUUCCACAGUUUUGGUGGAGGAACUGGAUCCGGAUUCACAUCUCUACUCAUGGAACGUCUUAGCGUGGACUAUGGCAAGAAAUCCAAACUAGAGUUCUCCAUUUAUCCCGCUCCUCAAGUUUCCACCGCUGUAGUAGAGCCCUACAACUCCAUUCUGACCACCCACACUACCCUGGAGCAUUCGGACUGCGCCUUCAUGGUGGACAAUGAAGCCAUCUACGACAUCUGUCGCCGUAACCUGGACAUUGAGCGCCCAACCUACACCAACCUGAACCGUCUAAUUGGUCAGAUUGUGAGCUCCAUCACCGCCUCCCUCCGCUUUGACGGUGCCCUCAAUGUGGACUUGACCGAGUUCCAGACCAACUUGGUGCCCUAUCCUCGUAUCCACUUCCCUCUUGCUACCUAUGCCCCUGUCAUCUCUGCAGAAAAAGCCUACCAUGAACAACUGUCUGUAGCUGAAAUCACCAAUGCCUGCUUUGAACCAGCCAACCAACUCGUCAAAUGCGACCCUCGUCAUGGCAAGUACAUGGCUUGCUGCAUGUUAUACAGAGGAGACGUUGUUCCCAAGGACGUCAAUGCUGCCAUUGCCACCAUUAAGACCAAGCGUACCAUCCAGUUUGUGGACUGGUGUCCCACUGGAUUCAAGGUUGGCAUCAACUACCAGCCACCCACCGUGGUUCCUGGUGGCGACCUGGCCAAGGUUCAGCGUGCCGUGUGCAUGUUGAGCAACACCACUGCCAUCGCUGAGGCCUGGGCUCGUCUGGAUCACAAGUUUGAUCUGAUGUACGCCAAGCGAGCCUUUGUCCACUGGUACGUUGGAGAGGGUAUGGAGGAAGGUGAAUUCUCCGAGGCCCGUGAAGAUCUGGCUGCCCUGGAAAAGGAGAAGAGUAUUAAACUGCUUGUUUCUGAUGAGAUUAAAUUUCCUUUGUUAGGGAGUCAUUUAUUUUCAGCUAUAUUAGCAUUUGCUCAUCAUUAGAAAUUGGACUAUGACAAUCUAAAUCUCUCAAAAAGUGAAUUAAAAUUAAUAAAAGUAUUAAAUUAUCAAAACAAAUGAAAUUCUGCUGAUUAUAAUAAAUUACUGAAAUUC